UGUUUUUGAAGAUUUUAUGUUGUAGAAUGUUUUUUGUUCUUCAAGCUACUGUUCUUAACUUUAUUUUCUCCUGUUAAUGUUCUCAAUGAUUAUCGAGCAUAUGCAUUACCAUGUGGCUUCAAGCGUGUCAGUGUGCUCUUGCUCAUAAUUUUUACUAUAUCUUGUUACUAAAAUUGCAAGUUAAUUGCAAAUUACUCAGAGCUUGGAUUGUCUCCUCCAGUUGGUUAAAGGAAAGCUACCGGGAAGGCAGAUUUGUUGACGAGUUGCCUUACAUACUAAAUGAUGAUGACUACAUAUCGAAGUAUCGAGCCAGCCUAAAAGCUGUAGUUCUCAGGGCAAAAGCAUGUUCUUGAGCUUUAUUUGAAGGGUAUGAUGUUUGCAUAUCAGCUCACGCUCAACCACCACCUAAAACUCUAUCCCUGAUAGUCAAGUCAGCCGGUGGAAAUGUGAUUCAUGAGCUAGAUAAAGUAAACAACGUAUGGAAGACGAGCUUUGUGGCUUGUGAGGAAGACGUGGAGGAAGCCUUGGUGGCCGUAGAAAAAGGGAUAUGGACUUUCAACGUUGAAUGGCUAAUGGCAUGUAUAAUGAGACAAGAAGUAGACUUGGAGGCCCUCAAUUUGCUGAGUCCCUAUGAGAAACAAGGUCACCCUAACUUUCAAUUUUGAACAAGCAGCAGCCAGCCAUUUCGUCCUUGUGUAAAUCCACUCUUUCUCAACUCACUCUAAUUUGGUACAUAAACAAACUCUGAUCGCUCCAUCUCUAUAUUCAUCAGUACAUAAAAGACGAUAAGUUUAUUCAUGGAGAAAGUUGGAUGUAAGUAUGUUUUAGGAAUGGUCCUUCAUUUAGUAACUUUGGGAAUUGUAAAAUGAGGUAAUGAAGUUCUAUCAAGUUGAAUGUUCUUGUUUAUGUUGGAUGAGACUGAUUCUUGGAUACCAGAAUUAACUUGAAGUACGUGUUUGAGUUCCAUUGGAGUGAUUAGAGAAAAAAUGUUCCUUUAAAAA